UCACGAACUCAUCACAGCAUCCUCCAUGCGCCUCAUCCUGUGGUACCUGUUCUUAACCUGUGGGGGGUGUGAGACAGCAAGAGUGAGCUCACAUACGUUCAUCGCUCAACAAGUUGUGGGGAAUAAUGUGCAUGAACUCGCCAAAGGUGGGAGCUCACGUGAAGUGUAAUGCUUACCAAAGAGGAUGGUUAGAGCUGAGCAUUGCUUUUAAAGUUGGUCAAAAUUUUAUUAGCAGUUACUAAGUAUAAGUAAAUACCAACCCAAUUAAAUAGUAGAACAGAAGUAACAACAUCACCUGCAAUGCAAUGCAUAUGACAAAUUGAAUUUAGUUCCAUAAAUUAAUCAUGUGAGGGUCCGAGCUGCUCAUGACCGUGAGCACGACUAGUAUACCAGUUUUACACUCUGCAGAGGUUGCGCAUCUUUACCCACAAGUCAUGUUACCCAUCUGCCAAGGAAUCGCGACUUCCCAUACACCUCUACCGAGGAGGCGAGGCAGGGUAACACUACGAGGCCUUUACAAAGUUCCACUAGCUUCAGAAAACCCGCUACAGUUUAUAGGAAGCUCCAAUGCAGGGACCCCUCGCAUGACCGCCAUCGCAGCAAAAUCAUCCCAAGGACCUCCCUACACUGACCGCUCCCCUACUGCCCUUGCCCCUUUCGGGUAAGAUAGUCUUCCACUAGCUUUCCUAAUUAAUCAGCCAAGGGCGUCCCAUUAAACCCUUGUGGUAGCACUGUUUUCUCGGGUGGUCGCUCCAUGUUCCAAUUAACAUAAUGAUCUUAUCAUGAACAGUAAUAAUAAAUAGAUAAUAAAAGUGUGAUCAUGAAUAUUGUAUCUUCAUACCCAAAACCACAUAAAGCACUAGCAAGUACUACCCAAAAAGUUCAGUGGUAAACAAGGUAUAAAGAUAGACAAACUAGGGUAUCCUAUUGGGUCCCAUCAGAAUUAACCUAUGCAGAUCAUUAUGAUUAAUUAGAACAUGAUUGGGUAAAAGAAGUGAUCAAGGGCACAACUUGCCUGGGACUUGAGAUUCCAGGUACCAGGAUGAUCUUCGGGUGACUCGUAACCUCGCUGCUAGUCGUAGCAAUACAAACAAACAUGGUAUGUGCAAAAUUAACAUUACAUCAAACAUAAGAACGAACUGUGUCAUAAUAAUCUAUGCAUCGCUACGAGAUCGCGGGAUCGAGAACCGCUAAAUUCGGGGUUACGGUUAUGAAGUUAUGGUUUAUGGAAGAUAAAUGUGAUUUCAAUAUUAACCUAUAUUAUAAAUUGGUUAAUAUAUAUCAUAUGAGAAAUAUACUCCAAAUAGUUAAGUAAACUUUAAUCUAGAUCAUAACUUGUUUAGAAAUCAUAUUUUAGUGAAAUCAUUAUCAUGGUCUAGUUUAACUUUGGUUAAAAGGUAUAAUCUACUGAACAUAGGCUAACAAAUAUCUAAUUAUAAAAAUAUGUUCUAUGGUAUAAUUAAUGUUGUCACUGCGUAAACAAUAUUUUUAUGAAGCUAACGCAAUUUGAAUGGAUCAAUCGGGCUCAAAAUGAGAAAGUUGUGAAUUUUCUAUGUUUACUAUAUUUUUCUUUUAUCCUCAAAAUCAUUUUUGAUUUUAAUUUACCAACCCUGUGGAUGGCAACUACUAUUUUUAUUAAAGACAGGGUCUAAUUCACAAAUUUCUGGGUCUGUUUGCAAUGAAACAUGAACUAUACAGGACUGCGGGUUAAUUGUGGAAAACUCCGAGGACUCAUACUACAAAAAUACCACGCGGCUUCAACGUGCUCGAUUCUGGGCCAUCCAUUUUAGGAUCUAAGGCCCAGAUUAGAUGGACUACCCCAGUGAACCGGUACAUGAUGUGAGUCGUUGGAUCAUCAUCACGCGGCUACAUUUAAUCGGAGCGAAGGGGUAUGCGGUGAUCAAAUCCCACACGUCGGAUUCAAAUCGGGCGGACGACAUCAUCCAAGGCCGAACCGCAACAUGGGAUUUAAUCCCGACCGUUCAAAUCCGAACGAACGGCCAGGAGAUCGCCUCCGACCUCCCAGCAGUCAAGCACGGCGGAGCAGAAGCCCGCGACGGCGCUCUUCGCCGGCAAACGUCCAUUCGGCGCCCCGGAGCCCGACUGAGCAAGCAGCGAGUUGCAAAACGCUCCUGAGAACCAGACGAAAUAGAUGGGGGAGAAAAAUACCUUAAUUAGAGCGGAGUACGGACCCGCCCACAGCACGAUGCGGCAUUGUCAAUCACCGGCAAGCAAAUCCCACGAUUUGGAUCGACCCCAGGAGCUUUCCUGUCCAAUUGAUGUCGUGCUGGGCAUCCCUUCGCAUAGGCGAUUCAGCCAAACCUCCCUACCCUAGACCGGACACAGCAUAGGGCCCGACAUCGCCGUGUGCCCGGAUUCAUGGCGGUAAUCUCC
rnacentral:lncRNA from 1 species